rnacentral:rRNA from 1 species
GACGAACGCUGGCGGCGUGCUUAACACAUGCAAGUCGAACGGAAAGGCCCUGCUUUUGUGGGGUGCUCGAGUGGCGAACGGGUGAGUAACACGUGAGUAACCUGCCCUUGACUUUGGGAUAACUUCAGGAAAGUGGGGAUAAUACCGGAUAGGAGCUUAUGCUACAUGGUGGGGGCAGGAAAGUUUAGGGGGGUUGGGAUGGACUCGCGGCUAAUCAGCUUGUUGGUGGGGUAGUGGCUUACCAAGGCUUUGGCGGGUAGCCGGCCUGAGAGGGUGGCCGGCCCCACUGCAACUGAGGUACGGCCCAGACUCCAAUGGUAGGCAACGGUGGAGAGUAUUAUACAGUGAGCGGAAGCCUAAUCCGACAACGCCACGUGCGGGAAGACGGCCUGUGGGUUGUAAACCGCUUUUGCCUGAGACGGAACGUGAAUGACGGUAAUGGAUAAAGAAGCACCGGCUAACUACGUG